GGGCGAGUAGCUCAGUUGGUGGAGCAAUUCCUUUACACGGAAGAGGUCACGGGUUCGAGCCCUGUCUCGCCCA
rnacentral:tRNA from 1 species